UACGUAGGGGGCAAGCGUUGUUCGGAAUCAUUGGGCGUAAAGCGCGCGUAGGCGGCCUCAUAAGUCCGCUGUAAAAGUCAAAGGCUCAACCUUUGAAUGCCGGUGGAUACUGUGAGGCUAGAGUCCGGAAGAGGCGAGUGGAACUCCUGGUGUAGCGGUGGAAUGCGCAGAUAUCAGGAAGAACACCAACGGCGAAGGCAGCUCGCUGGGACGGUACUGACGCUGAGGCGCGAAAGCUAGGGGAGCAAACAGG
rnacentral:rRNA from 1 species